rnacentral:rRNA from 1 species
GGGGAAUAUUGCACAAUGGGCGCAAGCCUGAUGCAGCAACGCCGCGUGAGGGACGACGGCCUUCGGGUUGUAAACCUCUUUUAGUAGGGAAGAAGCGAAAGUGACGGUACCUGCAGAAAAAGCACCGGCUAACUACGUGCCAGCAGCCGCGGUAAUACGUAGGGUGCAAGCGUUGUCCGGAAUUAUUGGGCGUAAAGAGCUCGUAGGCGGUUUGUCACGUCUGCUGUGAAAUCUGGGGGCUCAACCUCCAGCCUGCAGUGGGUACGGGCAGACUAGAGUGCGGUAGGGGAGAGUGGAAUUCCUGGUGUAGCGGUGGAAUGCGCAGAUAUCAGGAGGAACACCGAUGGCGAAGGCAGACCUCUGGGCCGUAACUGACGCUGAGGAGCGAAAGCAUGGGGAGCGAAC